AUGAUAGAACUAAGUCAUGCACAGCGGAAAAAGAAUCGAAUUUCUACCCUAAUUGCCACAAUUAACAUGUAACCAUAAACUAAUCAAAUUAGGGUUUUAAGAAGUAUUACCUUUGAAGCUUACAAAAGGUUUGAUGUCUUCUUACCAAUUCUACCCGAGACCACCACUAGUACUCAACUGCUAUCCUCUAGACAAAGAACCGGGUUGUGGGACCCAAUUUUGGUGUAGAAAGUAAUGGAGAUAAAAUGAGAUUGGAAGCUUUCUUUUUCUUUUGUUGAGAUUAUGAAAAUGAUAAAAGAGGCAAAAGUCCUUCAACAUUUGAAAACAUCUCUAUUUAUAGCCUAAUUACAUGCAAAAAUGCAUGCAAUUCAAUUGCCAAAUCUCAACACCUAAUAUUCCACUAACAAUUAGUGGAACUUAGUGGGCUAGGUGUCUAUAUCUCAUAUAGCCACAUAUCCCACUAAGAGUUAGUGGGAUUAUCCAACAAAAUGUUGGAUUUUCCCACUAACUUAGUCCAAGGGUAAAAUGGUCAUUAGAUUUUUCUAGUCAAAAGUCAAACUUUGACUUUUCUAAGUCAAAAGUCAAUAUUUUGACUUUUUACCAUUUUGUCCGUCUUGACUAAUUCCAACCUCCCGAGCAUGAAUCCGCAUUCAUUUUUCCAAAAUUCAAAUCACAUUUGAAUAUAAGGCCGGUCAAAGUUUGACUUUUCAAAGUCAAAAGUCAACAUUUUGACUUUUUACUAUUUUUGACCAAUUCCGAGCUUCUUAGUAUGAAUCCGCAUUCAUACUUAUAGUAUGUAAAACAUAAAGCUCUAUUUCUAAUUAGAAGACCGACGAUUAUAUCACUGUAUAUGUCGGUUUUCCUUUCUUCUCCCUAUUCGAACAAUUCGACUUAUUUCAUCACACUGUUCUAAGUUUAAUCCAUAUGAGCUAGCAGAGGAACCUAAUGGACCUAUAGAUCAUGGGCUCCAACGAUUCAAGAUUAACUAGCUAAACUCUUUUAAACCGAGUUAAUCAACAUUCGUUAACUAACGGGUCAUUCCACUAAAGUCCCGUAGUUGCACUCCCCUCACUAUAGAUAUAUUUGUGUCCAUUUGAUAAAACCAUAAUCAGUAAGUUAAUCCUUCACAGGUUGCUCGUAACCUUGGCUGGGUCAAAAUACCGUUUUACCCCCAAGAUUACAUCUUGCUCCUUAAGUCCCACUAAUCCACUAUUGAACAAUUGGUUUAAGGUUCAACCUAUAAACUUAAUCCCUCUCGGGCCAAUGAGAGGGUGGGGCCCCUUGUUCAAGACUUGGAUUCAGUGCUUAAGAGAGCAACCUAUCUACUAACCCUAAAGCGGGUAGGAGUGAAUUCCAUCUUGUACCCUAUGUUCCCAGCUAUCCACCCGAUCUUACCCCUGAAAUGGGAGGCUUAUUGGGCCAACGCUGAUGAGCUGCCCUCACCUAUGCAGAUCUAAGGAUAAUCUCGUAUGAACAGGAGUUCAUAGUUAACUCAGGAUUAAGACUAAGUUACCUAGGUCAUCAAUAAUUGAGAUAGUCAGUUUUAAACAGUAAACGGUGUUAUAACGUAAAAAUGACUAAUUCAUGGUUCAGUCUUAUGUAAACAUUUUACAUAGGAUGCCCCCACUUUCAUGUCUCUACAUGAACGAUUAGGAUCACAUCGUUUGUACUACAAAGUGGGCCGCAUCCAUAGUCUCUCAAAAUAAGGCGCCCAACCUUUAUUUCAUAUACUAUAGACUAUUUAGGCUAUAUACUCGAACUUGAUCCACGUUUAUGUUUACACAUAAAGUUCAAGUUUAUUCAAAAAAUAGCCUUGGAACUUUGAUUUAUUGGAUUUAAGAUUAUAAUAUUUAAUUUCUCAAUAACAACUUUAUUGAAUAGAAUAUGAUUUACAAACUACGAUUUAGGACAAAAAAUUCCAACAAACUCCCACUUGGACUAAAAUUCCUAGUGGUAUGAGAGAUGUGGUGUGAGAGAAUAUAUAUGAAACUAGGGCACAUGGCCAAUAAGUCUCCCACUUGUCCUAGUUUACAAACAUCGUACACCUAAACUGUGUAGGUGACCCUCAAACACUUUAGCCAUGAGGGCUUUUGUAAAAUGAUCAGCUUCCAUUGUGGAAUCAGCUAUACAAGUUUGCUUUAUGCUUCUCCAAACUACUGCUCCUCCAUUUAGAGUAAAUACUGAUCUGAUGUAGACUUUCUAACAUCUUUAUUAGUUUGGAAAUCUGAAUCAGUGUAUCCAGUAAGGAUCAGAUCCUUUGUACGAUACAUGAGCAUGUAGAAUGUUUUUAACGGCUGUCCAGUGAUCACGUCCAUGAUUGGAUUGAUACCUACUGACCAUCCCUACUGAGUAGCAAAUGUCAGGUCUAGUACAUAACAUUGCAUACAUUAAACUUCCAACAGCGGAAGCAUAGGGAAUAUUUCUCAUAUCCUCAACUUCUUGAGGUGUCUUAGGACAUUGUUCCUUUGACAAAUGAAUUCCAUAUCUGUACGGCAGCAGACCCUUUUUGGAAUUCUGCAUUUUAUAUCUAGACAACAUUUUGUCUAUGUAAGAUGCUUGAGACAUGGCUAGUGUUUUGUUCUUACGGUUUCGAACAAUUUGGAUUCCGAGAACGUAUUGUGCAUCUCCCAGAUCUUUCAUUUGAAAUUGCAUAGCUAGCCAUUUCUUGAUAUCAGGAAGAUAUCCUAGUCAUUUCCAAUAAGUAGAAUAUCAUCUACAUAUAAGACUAAAAAUGCUAUAAUGGAAUUGACGACCUUUUGUAAACACAAGGCUCGUCAACAUUUUGUUCAAAGCCAUAAGAUUUUGAUCGCAAUAUCAAAUCUUAUAUUCCAGGAUCUAGAAGCUUGUUUUAAUCCAUAAAUGGAUUUUUUAAGCUUACAAACCUUUUGUUCUUGAUCUUGUUUUAUAAACCCCUCUGGUUGAGACAUAUAGAUGCUCUCUUCAAGAUUACCGUUCAAAAAAGCUGUCUUGACAUCCAUCUGCCAAAUUUCAUAAUCAUAAAAAGUGGCGAUGGAUAAGAGUAUUCUAAUUGACUUUAACAUGGCAACGGGAGAGAAAGUUUCCUCUAGUCUACUCCCUCUCUCUAGGUAUAACCCUUUGCCACAAGUCGAGCCUUAAAAGUCUGUACUUUACCGGCAUGGUCUCGUUUUCUCUUGUAGAUCCAUUUACAACCAAUAGGUUUUACGUCAUUUGGUUGAUCUACUAGAGUCUAGAAAGAAUUAAAGUACAUAGACUCCAUUUCGAGGUCCAUGGCUUUGAUCCAUUGGUCACGAUCUACAUCUUUCAUUGCCUGUUUAUAGGUUAAUGGAUCCUCUAUGCCAUCGUCAGGUAUGACGACUUGAGUUUCAAUUAAACCCAAAUAGCGAUCAGGCUGAUGAACAACCCUCCCACUACGUCGAGGCUCUCUCAACUGUUGAGAAGGAUGUGAUUGACCAGAUUUCCUAGUCUUAUCAACUACUUUAGUGGAUGAACUAGGUUUUAUCUAUAGCACUUUUGGAAAUUUCUUUAAAUACUAGUUUACUACGAGGUUGAUGAUCCCUGAUGUGGUAUUUUAUUUUCUUGAGGAUCAUAAAACAAACCACCUCUUGAUUCUUUUGGAUAACCUAUAAAAAAGCAUAAUUUUGAACGAUGUUCCAAUUUCUUUGGAUUUUGUACCAACACAUGUGCUGGACAACCCCAAAUUUUAAAAUGACGUAAACUGCCUUUACGCCCUUUCCAUAGCUCAUAAGGUGUUUCUGAAACACUUUUAGAGGGAACAUUAUUCAAAAUAUAAGCAGCUGUUUCUAAAGCAUAUCCCCAAAAAGAAUCUGACAUCUGAGAAAAACUCAUCAUAGAGCGAACCAUGUCUAACAAGGUCCAGUUUCUUCUUUCUGAUACACCGUUCUGUUGAGGUGUACUAGGUGCAGAGAGUUGUGACUGGAUUCCAUUUUCUAUUAAAUAGUCUCGGAAUCGUAAGUCCAUAUACUCUCCACCUCGAUCUGAUCGAAGUAUUUUUAUUGUUUUACCUAAUUCGUUUUCUACUUCAGCCUUAUAUUCUUUGAACUUUUCAAGACUAUUAGACUUAUGAUGUAUUAGGUAAAUAUGACCAUACCUUGAAUAAUCAUCAAUGAAGCUAAUGAAAUAUUCAUAUCCACCUCGAGUUUUGACAUUCAUUGGUCCACAAAGGUCCGAAUGUACGAGCUCUAAGGGUCCUUUGGCUCUUAGACCUUUUCCAGUAAAAGAUCUCUUGGUCAUUUUUCCUUCAAGACAAGAUUCACAAGGAGGUAAAGAGUUAUCUUCUAACGGACUUAGAAGCCCACUUUUAACCAAUCUCCCAAUCCUAUUGAGAUUUAUGUGACCAAGUCUUAAGUGCCAUAAAUAGGCAUUAGAAGAAACUUUUUGUCUUUUAUUCUGAGUUUCAGCUGUUCUGAAUAUUUCAGUAUUUAAGACAAAAUUUGCUCUAGUUGGUCUUAACUUAUAUAAGUUGUCUUCAAGUAUAGCAGAACAAACUAGAAUACCUUUAUAGAAAACGAACGCUUCAUUAAUUUCAAAAGAUAUUCUAUACAUUUGUUCCAAAAUACAAGAGAUAGAUAUUAAAUUUCUUUUCAUUUGAGGUACAUAUAAGACAUUCUUAAGUAUGACAUAUCUAUCUCUAAAAAACAACUUUAAAUCUCCCACUGCUGAAGCUGAGACCAUCUCUCCUGUUCCAACCUUGAGAGUGAUCUCGCCUUCUGAAAGCUUUUUCCAAGAACUAUUUUCCUGAAAUGAGAAGCAAAUAUGGUUAGUGGCUCCUGAAUCUAGUAUCCAGGUAGAAUUUUCAUAUUCCACUAAACAUGUUUCUACAACUAGUAAAUCAUAUUUACCUUGUGUUUCCUUCUCUGCCUUUUUUUCUGCAAGGUAUUUUGGGCAGUUUCUUAACCAGUGCCCGUUUUGGCCACAAUGGUAACACUUACCUUUUUCUGCAGCUUUCUUACCCUUGUUCUGUUUGGGAGUCUUUCCCUUUCCCUUCUUUUUUAUUUGAGCAUUAGGUUUUGAGGGUCCAGCUUUGGUUUUAGAGGACGAUCCUCUUAUAAAUUUUCUUUUUGUGGUAGCAACAUUUGCUUCCACUUGUUUUCCUUUACCCAUAGUUAGGUUUUGGAAUCGCUGGAGUUCAUUCAGAAGGGUUGUCAAGUUAAAUUCUAUCUUGUUCAAAGACGCAUUCGUUUGGAAUGGAAUGAAGCUCUUCGGAAGAGACUCUAAGAUAAAACUAACUUGAUUAACCUCUUCGAUGGGACCACCAUUCACUUCAGCGAUGUUGAAGUGCAUCAUCAUGUCCAGAACAUGUUCUCUAACAGAGGUCCCUUCGCUUCAUACGCUUAGUGUAAAUGUAUUUGACUGCCUCGUGUCUUAAGGACCAUUCUGGUUGCCCAAACAUUCCCCUUAAUGAAUCCAUAAUCUCUUUAGCCGUGGCUAAGGAUUCAUGUUUCUUUGCCAAUACAUCAGACAUGCUGGCAAGAAUGUAAACACGGGCUUUUUCAUUAGCUUUUAUCCAUCGAUCAUAUGCAUCCCGACUAGUUCGGUUAGCAUUAGAGGCAGGGUUUUGAGGACAUUCCUCAGUUAAGACAAAUCUUAAAUCGUCAACCACUAGUAUUGUGUUAAGAUUUGAUUUCCAAGCCGCAUAAUUAUCGCCAUUAAGUUUUUCGGAAGCUAAAAGUUGAACUAUUGAGCUAUUCAUGCUGAAAAACAAACAUAUUCUUUUUAGGAAAAAACUAUAAUCAUAAAAAAUAUCCAAUCUAAUUUAGCAAUUACUAAUAAUGUACCCUUUCAUUAUUUGUAUUUUGCAACAAUAUUUCAAAGGUUUAGAACAACCUUCUCCGAAGGGUAGUUGAUUAUUCCUCCUUUGAACCAAGACAAUCUUGACUAGAUGCUAUCUCAAGAAUAACUCUUUAUUCUUUAUAGCACUUAGUUAUCGCUACUUUAGUCAAGAAUAUACUAACAACUUAGUAAUUCUUGUAAGUGUUACCCACCAUUUUCAGAUUUUAUAGAUUAGAAUCAUUUAUGAAAACUAAUCUAAGAAAUCCUAUCCAGUUUUGGAGUUCGCGGUGUUCCGAAUCCUAUAAUACAACCCUCCGAAGGGAACGUCGCUCCAGGGCAGACAAGCAGGCAUAUUAUAGAAAUCUCACGGUGCGACCUAAUGGAAGAGACCGUGGGAUGUGCUGCCACAAAUCCCUCACCCACUUACUAUGAACUACUUCCCCUAUUCACCUUGAUUUUGAUCCAUGCAAACACUCUCCGAAGGGAGGCCGCUCCUAUGCACGGCACAAAGCCCUGCAUGGACCUCACGGUGUGAACUCUUAGGGACACUAGAGCUAAAAUACAUUAUUUUUCUCUAGUUGAAGUGUUCUAAAAGAAAAAAAUAGGGUAAUCCAAACUUCAAGAUUUAUAUUUAGGCUAACUUAAACAAAUCUUAAGUCUAGAUAAAACAUCCAAGUAUAACCAUUAUACAGGAUUUUAACCUAUGAUGUCUAGGUGAAAAACCAUUUUUAUUACCUCACACCUCUCACGAAUGCUCAUAAAACUAGGUUAACUAGGCUCAAGAACUGAUUACGAUCUCCAGGUAGGAGGUGUUCCGUAAACCGUCAACUUAAGAACCUCCAACCUUAGUCAUCUUAUCUGACUUGUUGACAAGAUUGAACCAGGUGAGCCUUUUGUAACCAGUUUUACAAGAUAUCGACCUAUUUCUAUGAAAAAUGGAAGAUAUGUUUAACCUAAGUGAGCAUGCAUUUAAUCUUUGUUAUUGAUUUUAAAAGUCUAAUUUAUUUUAUAACACUUAUAAAAACUUUUAAACUUAAUCAAUCAUUUUAUCAAUAUAUAAUAUAAAAACAAUCAAUUAAUAUGGAUUUUAAUUUAUUUAACUUUAAUUAAAUCAUAUUUAAUUAAAUUAAAUCAAACAAUAAUUAAUUAAUUUGAUUAAAUCAUAUUUAAUCAAGAAUAACUUAAUUAAUUAAAUAAUUAAUUAAUCAUAUUAAUUAAUUUCCAUAUUAAUCAAUUAACAUGCAUACAAUACAAUAUAACCUUUAUAUCAUACAUUUUAAUGCAUGAACAUGUUAACCUAUGGUGGGAUUUUAAAUCUAUAUGACAUUCAAAAUGCACAUACAAAUUUAAAGUAAUUUAAUCAUACAUCACAUGCAUAAAUAAAAAAAACACCCUAAAAUGGACUGAUUUUUGGCUCCUAAAUUAAGCUAAGUGCUAAAUUAUUACAUAAUUAAUUUGGUGUAGUACAGAACCACUCCCAAAAAUUUCGAACCGGCUAAAAAACCAACCGAAACCGCUUGAACCGGCCCAAAAACCAAAUUUAUUGGCUUGAACCGGCCCAGGCGCACACGGGUCGUGCGAAGGCAGGCGCGCGGGCGAAGGCGGGCGCGCGGGCGCAUGCGGGCGCGCGGGCACAGGCGGGCGCACGGGCGCAUGCAGGCGCGCGGGCGCAGGGGGCGCGCGGGCGCAGGAGGCGCGCGGGCGCAGGCGGCGUGCGGGCGCAGGAGGGCGCGCGGGCAUGCGGGCGCGUGCGGGUCGCGAAGCGGGUCAAAACCGGGUUUUCGGGUCUGUGACCUUCUUUUCUUCAUUUUUUUCAAUUCUCUCACCCGGUUGAACCAAUUACAGCCUAGCUUCAACUCUAAUGACUUUUUUUAUUUUUUAAAAAAUUACAAACACUUUGCAACAAUAAAAAUAAGCCAUUAACAAGGCUAAUUACAAUAAUUAGAACAAAAACACUUAAUCUAGAGCCAAAAUCAUAAUAUAUCCAUUUUAGUUCAAACCAAAAUUUAUCUAAUAAAUAUGAACCCACCACAUGCAAUUGGGUAAAAAUGAAGCAUGCUCUGAUACCACAUGAUAGAACUAAGUCAUGCACAGCGGAAAAAGAAUCGAAUUUCUACCCUAAUUGCCACAAUUAACAUGUAACCAUAAACUAAUCAAAUUAGGGUUUUAAGAAGUAUUACCUUUGAAGCUUUCAAAAGGUUUGAUGUCUUCUUACCAAUUCUACCCGAGACCACCACUAGUACUCAACUGCUAUCCUCUAGACAAAGAACCGGGUUGUGGGACCCAAUUUUGGUGUAGAAAGUAAUGGAGAUAAAAUGAGAUUGGAAGCUUUCUUUUUUCUUUUGUUGAGAUUAUGAAAAUGAUAAAAGAGGCAAAAGUCCUUCAACAUUUGAAAACAUCUCUAUUUAUAGCCUAAUUACAUGCAAAAAUGCAUGCAAUUCAAUUGCCAAAUCUCAACACCUAAUAUUCCACUAACAAUUAGUGGAACUUAGUGGGCUAGGUGUCUAUAUCUCAUAUAGCCACAUAUCCCACUAAGAGUUAGUGGGAUUAUCCAACAAAAUGUUGGAUUUUCCCACUAACUUAGUCCAAGGGUAAAAUGGUCAUUAGAUUUUUCUAGUCAAAAGUCAAACUUUGACUUUUCUA
rnacentral:lncRNA from 1 species